rnacentral:lncRNA from 1 species
UAGUUUUAUACAUUCAGAAACAUGUCGGUUAUAAAAUGAAUUCUUCACAAUUUUAAACUAAUUUACUUUUUUUUUGUAGGAAGAAUGUCGUUUCGUGUUUGAUUAUGAUGAUGAUGUAGCCAGGAGGAAAGCUCUAGAUUAUAUAAAUAAUUCUAUAAAGGUACAUUAACAAAAUCUAAUGGUUAUGUUUGAGCCAAAAUCAUCAAACAAUUUAUCCUAAUGAAUUUUUCAUUUUGUUAGGAGUUAAAUCCGUAACAUUAAAAGACAGCCUCCUUAUCGUGAGGGGAGACGGACUAGAUCAAGAUAAAAUGGAGAAGAAGUUGAAUAAGAUUUUUUCACCAAAAAAGGGAUGCGUAUGGUGUAUGGCGUUUUAGUCCCAAUGGAUGCUAUGUUGUUUAUUUAUAUUUUCAUGUUCUAUAAGAGUGUUUGGAUUUAUGCUUGAGUAUUGAUUAAAAUCUACUCGUAUAAUAUUAUUAGAUGUUUUACCAGUAA